AUGUCUUAAUGUACCCCAAUGCAAAUCUGAAUGAAACUGGCUUAUUCAUUUUUAUGAUUGUUGUUUCUUCUGGCUGUAAGAUUAUGUUGUUCAUAUAUCAGCAAUAGCCAUCUUGCAAGUUUCAGCUGUCACCAUCUGGAAAGUGGGGACUGGGUAGACUAAUUUCUACUGCUAGCCAGCUUCUUCAAAUUCUCUCUGAUUAUUUA
rnacentral:misc_RNA from 1 species